CGCGCGCGAAUGUGGGAGCUCGCGGCCGGAGCGCCCGGGGAGGCCGGGCCCACGACGCCCGUGGCUCCGCUGCGGCAGCGGCGGUGCUGGUGGCGCGCGCGGCCGGGAGGCGGCUUCGCGCCGUGGGCGGGAGGCUGCGGCGGGCGACCGGUCCUGGACACGCGAGGAAGAGCGAGCCGAUGGCGCCAGCGGCCGCGCUUCGACCCGGUAACUUACAAGAUGAUAAUUAAUGUGGUUGCCGAUGAUUCUGAAUAAAUACAGCUUUUAUCUCAGGUGUGCCAUUUUGAAGACUGAGACCAUAGAGUUUUAAGAAUAAAGGAGAGAGCCCUUGGGAAAUUCUGUAUUAUAUAUAGCAAAAAUGUGAAUCCUCAGAUGGAAUGAAAGGCCUGUACCAUAGACAUCUAAGCAUUUAAAUUUUUUUUUUUCUAAUUUUUUAUGAAGCACCCCGCUUGAAGAGUUUGAAAUGGACUUUACCACUGAGAAAUCAAGAUGGCAGCCCAUUAUGGGGAAUUGAGGAAAAUGGAUUAAUGCAAGAAUGCUGUAAUAUUAUACAACCAACACAGGAUUCUUUUAAUGUGGAUUCCAUGAAAUGAAUGAUUCUUACCCAACACAAAUGGACAGUGGACUUUACUUCCUAAAGACUUGUUACAUGUCAUGUACAUUUUUGACAUCUGGAGAAGACUACAAUUCUACAAAUGGUAGUUUGUAUUCCUGGAAUUUCUUGCAGUUUGAUCUGAAGUGACCUUAUGGAAUGUUAACUUUAAUAAAAUCUCUAAAACUUAAAAA
rnacentral:lncRNA from 1 species